GACGAACGCUGGCGGCGUGCUUAACACAUGCAAGUCGAGCGGUAAGGCCCUUUCGGGGGUACACGAGCGGCGAACGGGUGAGUAACACGUGGGUGACCUGCCCUCAGCUCUGGGAUAAGCCUGGGAAACCGGGUCUAAUACUGGAUAUGACUCCAUGACGCAUGUUGGUGGGGUGGAAAGCCUUGUGCGGCUGAGGAUGGGCCCGCGGCCUAUCAGUCUUGGUUGGGUGGGGNGAUGGCCUACCAAGGCGACGACGGGUAGCCGGCCUGAGAGGGCGACCGGCCACAC
rnacentral:rRNA from 1 species